GACGAACGCUGGCGGCGUGCCUAAUACAUGCAAGUCGAACGCAGUGGGGACGGGUGAGUAACACGUGGGUAACCUCCCAUCAGAGGGGAGAACACUUGGAAAAAGGUGCUAAACCGAUACUGAUGGAUGGACUCGCGGUGCAUUAGCUAGUUGGUGGGGUAACGGCUCACCAAGGCCACGAUGCAUAGCCGGCCUGAGAGGGUGAUCGGCCACACUGGAACUGAGACACGGCCCAGACUCCUACGGGAGGCAGCAGUGGGGAAUCUUCGACAAUGGACGAAAGUCUGACCGAGCCACGCCGCGUGAGUGAAGAAGGUUUUCGGAUCGUAAAACUCUGUUGUUAGAGAAGCGGUAUCUAACCAGAAAGCCACGGCUAACUACGUGCCAGCCGCCGCGGUAAUUC
rnacentral:rRNA from 1 species